AAAGUCGUAACAAGGUAACCGUAGGUGAACCUGCGGUUGGAUCAUUAACAAAUUGAUUAGGCCCCUGGCUGUCCCAAAAGGGCGAAGGGGGAACAACCUAAACUUUUGUGUGCACCAUAUCUGUCUUUGGCAGUUCGAGUGUCCUGGGUGCGUAACUGCCCUAGGUACCUACUUAGGCGGACCCUUUGUGGCCUGCCGAGGUUGGGCUGCCGCCUUUUGAAAAACACCUUUCUAUGUUUUUAUGACUGAAAUUGUUUGAUCUUUGAGAUUGAAUUUAAAUACAACUUUUGACAACGGAUCUCUUGGCUCUC
rnacentral:misc_RNA from 1 species